CUACGGGAGGCAGCAGUGGGGAAUAUUGGACAAUGGGGGAAACCCUGAUCCAGCAAUGCCGCGUGUGUGAAGAAGGCCUGCGGGUUGUAAAGCACUUUCGGUUGGGAGGACUGCUUCUAGCACUAAUAUUGUUGGAAGUUGACGUUACCUUCAGGAGAAGCACCGGCUAACUCCGUGCCUGCAGCCGCGGUAAUACGGAGGGUGCACAGCGUUAAUCGGAAUUACUGGGCGUAAAGCGCGCGUAGGCGGCUAGAUCAGUCGGGUGUGAAAGCCCCGGGCUUAACCUGGGAACUGCAUCCGAUACUGUCUAGCUUGAGUACAGGAGAGGAGAGUGGAAUUCCACAUGUAGCGGUGAAAUGCGUAGAUAUGUGGAGGAACACCAAUGGCGAAGGCAGCUCUCUGGCCUGAUACUGACGCUGAGGUGCGAAAGCGUGGGGAGCAAACAGGAUUAGAUACCCGAGUAGUC
rnacentral:rRNA from 1 species